UAAGAAUAAAAUCUGUUGAAUGUUGCCUGU
rnacentral:piRNA from 1 species